rnacentral:rRNA from 1 species
CCUACGGGAGGCAGCAGUGAGGAAUAUUGGUCAAUGGCCGGAAGGCUGAACCAGCCAUGCCGCGUGAAGGUCAGUGCCCUAUGGGCGUUAAACUUCUUUUGUGCGGGAGCAAUAAUGGUCACGUGUGGCCAGACGAGAGUACCGUACGAAUACGCACCGGCUAACUCCGUGCCAGAUGCCCAGGUAAUACGGGGGAUGCAAGCGUUAUCCGGAUGUACUGGGUUUAAAGGGUGCGUAGGCGGGGAGGUAAGUCAGCGGUGAAAUGCCCCCGCUCAACGGGGUGAAGUGCCAUUGAUACUGCCUUGCUGGAAUGCGGAUGCCGUGGGAGGAAUGUGUGGUGUAGCGGUGAAAUGCAUAGAUAUCACACAGAACACCGAUUGCGAAGGCAUCUCACGAAUCCGCGAUUGACGCUGAUGCACGAAAGCGUGGGUAUCAAACAGGAUUAGAUACCCUUGUAGUC